rnacentral:rRNA from 1 species
GACGAACGCUGGCGGCGUGGAUUAGGCAUGCAAGUCGAACGGUAUCAUCCUUUCGGGGGUGAGAGAGUGGCGAACUGGUGAGUAACACGUAGGUUAUCUACCCUCAAGACGGGGACAACCCAGGGAAACUUGGGCUAAUACCGGAUGUGAGCAACUUUUUAGUUGUUUGAAAGGUGGCGUAAGCUGUCGCUUGGGGAUGAGCCUGCGUCCUAUUAGUUAGUUGGUGAGGUAACGGCUCACCUAGGCAAUGAUAGGUAGGCGGCCUUAACGGGUGGUCGCCCACACUGGGAUUGAGAUACGGCCCAGACUCCUACGGGAGGCAGCAGUCGAGAAUAGUCUACAAUGGUCGGAAGACUGAUAGUGCGACGCCGCGUGAACGAUGAAUCCCUUCGGGGUGUAAAGUUCUUUUAUAUGUGAGCAGUGCUUCUUAUAUUAACAGUAUGGGGAAGAGAUAUUAGCAUAUGAAUAAGCAACGGCUAACUCCGUGCCAGCAGCCGCGGUAAGCUCG